rnacentral:rRNA from 1 species
AUUGAACGCUGGCGGCAGGCCUAACACAUGCAAGUCGAACGGUAACAGGAAGCAGCUUGCUGCUUCGCUGACGAGUGGCGGACGGGUGAGUAAUGUCUGGGAAGCUGCCUGAUGGAGGGGGAUAACUACUGGAAACGGUAGCUAAUACCGCAUAAUGUCGCAAGACCAAAGAGGGGGACCUUCGGGCCUCUUGCCAUCGGAUGUGCCCAGAUGGGAUUAGCUUGUUGGUGGGGUAACGGCUCACCAAGGCGACGAUCCCUAGCUGGUCUGAGAGGAUGACCAGCCACACUGGAACUGAGACACGGUCCAGACGCCUACGGGAGGCAGCAGUGGGGAAUAUUGCACAAUGGGCGCAAGCAUGAUGCAGCCAUGCCGCGUGUAUGAAGAAGGCCUUCGGGUUGUAAAGUACUUUCAGCGGGGAGGAAGGGAGUAAAGUUAAUACCUUUGCUCAUUGACGUUACCCGCAGAAGAAGCACCGGCUAACUCCGUG